AUCUUGAGUUAAAGAACAGAUGUCUGAAGUCAGAGGUAGUAAAGGGUGGACAAGACUGCAAUUACUAUCUGUGAGGAACGAUUCUGGAUGCAGUUGCAUUUAUUCAGCUCUUAGGCAAGUAUCUUUGCCAAGGCAUGAAAUGGAGUCAGAAAGACUUAUUUCCCGUGUGCACUUGCAUCCCAGAAGGCCAAUCGUAUCCUUGUUUCCAUCAGAAGAUGCAUACCCGGCAGAGUGAGGAAGUUGAUUGUUCCCCUCUAUUCUGCCCUUGUGAGGCCCCGUCUAGAGUACUGUGUCCAGGUCUGGGGCCUCCAAUACAGGAAAGAUAUGGAGGUUUUGGAGAGGCUCCAGAGAAGGGCUACAAAGAUGAUCCAAGGACUGGAGCACUUCUCUUAUGAAGACAGGCUGAAGAAACUGAUCUUGUUCAUCCUGGAAAAGAGAAAACUGCAGGGAGACCUCAUUGCAGCCUUCCAGUAUUUAGAGGGAGUUUAUAAACAUUAAGGAAAUCAACUUAUUAUAUGGGUAGAUAGUAAUAUGACAAAAGGGAAGGCUUUCAAGCUAAAGAGAGGAAGAUUUAGAUUAGAUGUCAAGGGGAAGUUCUUUAUUGAGAGAGUGGUGAGGUGCAGGAACAGGUUGCCCAGAGAGGUUGUGGAUGCCCCUUCCCUGGAGGUGUUCAAGGCCAGGUUGCAUGUGGCUCUGGACAAUCUGGUCCAGUAUUUGAUUGAGGGUCUGGCAAGUCUGCCUGUGUCAGGGGAGUGGAAAGUGAUGACCCUUGAUGUUCCUUCCAGCCCAAGCCACUCUACGAUUCUAUGAAAUUAAUUACUUGAGUUGGAGGCUAAGUACAAGUUAGAUAUUCAUGGAUAAAAGUAAAUUCUUUAUUAUAAUUAAUAUUUAGAAAUGCUGACCUCAAAAUACAUUUUACGGUAACAGUAGGAAGGAAUAAUUUAGAUAAAAUUGACUAACAAUAACAUUGCAUAAAUUUAUUUUAAAUACCAGGGCAUAUUUUUGAAUAGAGAUGACUAAUAAUGCAUAUAAAUUGCUAUAUCAAGAGCAAAAUGUUUUCCUUGCAUCAAGUCAUUUCUCAUUUAUUUGAUAGGCAGCCUCAUAUUAUGUCAAAAAGUAACACCAAAUACAUACAAUAAUUAAGGUCUUUACUGUGGCAAUGCAAUCUUUUCUUUGACAGGGACUUAUUGAAUAAUCUUAAUCAUCUUGUAUUGAAUCACUGUAGUUUGAAUGGUCCUUCCAGGCUAGAAGGUCCUCCAUAUGGCCUUCUUGGUGUGCUGGAGAUACCUCUGUAAAGUAAGAAAAUGUGGAAUCAGUUACAGAGAAGUAGAAGAUUAGGUUUGAAUAGGUCUGAUUAGGUUUUGCUUAUUUUCCCUGCUCUGGAUAUCUCUUUACCAAUUGAAUAAAAUUCUUCAGGUUGUGCUGUAUUUAUUCCUGCUUUUUGAUCAAAUACAGGCGAAAGAAC
ensembl:lncRNA